AUGGACAAAAAGUCCAGAGGACAGAUCACAGUGACUCAGCCUGGAGCAGUGAGCUCUGCUGUGGGAGGAUCUGUGACCAUCAAGUGUAGGACCAGUCAGAAUGUUUAUAACAACAACUGGUUAGCCUGGUACCAACAGAAAGAUGGAGGAGUUCCUAAACUGCUCAUUUACUGGUCUAGCACUCGAGCAUCAGGGAUUCCAGCUCGUUUUACAGGCAGUGGAUCAAACUCUGACUUCACUCUGACCAUCAGUGGAGUCCAGGCUGACGAUGCAGCAGUUUAUUACUGUCAGAGUCAUCACUAUCCUAACAGUCAGGAGGUGUUCACACAGUGA